GAAAUGCGAUAAGUAAUGUGAAUUGCAGAAUUCAGUGAAUCAUCGAAUCUUUGAACGCACCUUGCGCCCCUUGGCCAUUCCAAAGGGCAUACCUGUUUGAGUAUCAUGAACACCUCAACUCUCAUGGGUUCACCAUGAUGAGCUUGGACUUCUGGGGGUUUUGCCGGCCUAUGCCCGGCUCCUCUCAAAUGAAUCAGCUUGCCAGUGUUUGGUGGCAUCACAGGUGUGAUAACUAUCUGCGCUUGUGGCGUUCCACCAGGUAACCUCCAGCGAUGGAGGUUUGCUGGAGCUCAUAAACGUCUCUCUUUGGAGAGAGACAUCGUUUUCGAACGUUUGAUCUCAAAUCAGGUAGGACUACCCGCUGAACUUAA
rnacentral:rRNA from 1 species